rnacentral:lncRNA from 12 species
CCCCCCCCCCCCCCCCCCCCCCCCCCCCCCCCCCCCCCCCGGGUCUCCUCACAGAUGGCAGGCUGAAACGUAAGUCACUAGUUGACUUUUCCCUUUCCUGUGCCCAAGCAUCAACAGGAAAGUCUGUUGCCAACAGCUGUGGUUUGGUCUGCCUUCCUCACGUGUGCUUGUCUGUCCUGGAGGUAGCAGCAGAAAUGCCACCAGCAGUGCGAGAGCACUGGCGGAGGCAGGUCUGGAUCCCUGUCCCUUCAUGCAGCUGCUGUCAUUUUUACCUGCACUUAAAGCUGAAUUCCAUCGGUGCCUCUAGAUGGGCAUGUUCUGAGUUGGAUGGACCGGGGAGGGCAGAGUGAAUGAGACACCCUCAGACUAAAUUUGAAAAGCUUUGGGAUGGCUGGAAAAGGUGUUGCCAGGGAAACGAGUUCUAGUUUCAAGUCCCAUGGGGUAAUAACAACAAAUGAAGACGAAAUUUCAGUACUAAUUGAUCUCCUCUGUAGUUGCUUUUGGCUCUGUUGCCUAAUGCAGUUACCUUUAAUAACGUUUAAGGAUCCUGCUGUGGGGUCCAGCUGCUGUGGAGCAUCACAAGACUUGCAAGAGUCUGGGGAAGUCCCUGUGGCAGCAGCCAAGCAUGGAGGAGAUUCUGUGUCUGCUGGAUCGAGAGAAGAUGAUGAAGACGGUUCUGUCUUUCCCUCAGCAUCGCCAGCUGCUGCCACCACAGGAGAUGGAAGAGUCACUUUAUAAAGAUGGAACAGUCAAGAGCCUUGAUGACUUCUAUGAUCCUUGUUUUCUACUUCAACUCUUCAGUGAACUGACCAGACCAGGUAAAAUGAGUGUUUUUCUUUGGUAUUUAGUGUCAGGUUGCUCUGCUGCAGGAGCUGCAUCUGGAGCUCUGCUGGAGCUCUGUUAUCCCUCCCCCCCCCCCCCCCCCCCCCCCCCCC